CUAAGUUUUAAUUUGGUACCUGAGAAAGCUGACAACAUCAUUUAAAUAUUUUCCCACUUGCAUUUCAUUUACUGGAAAGAAGCUCACACUAUAAAAGGAAUUUGCCAACAACAAAUCACAAUUUGAUUACAACAGUAAUUCUGAGAACAUUUCUGAAAGGUAAGGUAAAAAUACAAAAUAUUCAGACUCAGUUAAAAACUAGUCUUCUAAACAUUAGAGAAAUUAAAAUUUAAAUAAUUUAAAUUCAAACAUGGUUUUAGAAAAAAUUUCAAUUAAAAAUUUCUAACGAACAAAAUAAUACUAUUAUGUAUAAGAUUCCUGACUAUGGAGUUCCCGUCGUGGCUCAGUGGUUAACGAAUCUGACCAGGAACCAUGAGGUUGCAGGUUCUAUCCCUGGCCUUGCUCAGUGGGUUAAGGAUCCGGCGCUGCCGUGAGCUGUGGUGUAGGUUGCAGACGCGGCUCGGAUCCCGCGUUGCUGUGGCUCUGGAAUAGGCCAGUGACUACGGCUCCGAGUGGACCCCUAGCCUGGGAACCUCCAUAUGCCGAGGGAACAGCCCUAAAAAAAGGAAAAAAAAAAAAAAAAAAAAAAAAAAAAAAAGAUUCCUAACUAUCACCAUUUUUGGUUUUAAUUUAUUGGUCAUCUUUUUAAUUUCCAAAAGCCCCAAACUCCAUUAAAUAGUUUUAUAUUUGUAAAAUGCAAAUCCUUACAUUAGUUAUUUACUAUGAAAAGCUUUCAAAUAAAUUCUUAACAUUUCAAAUGCAUAAUGUGUAACGUGCAUGUUAAAUUCAUCAUACCUGGAGACACAGAAAUAUUCAGUGCCGAAAUUAUUCCUACUAUUAAGAAGAUAGUCAUAUUAUAAUUACCACCCUGUACAUCAAAGUUUCAAAGGUAAAACUUAAUAUUAAGAAAUUAAUAGUAAUACCUUCAGCUUCCAACUGCUAUUUGGAUCAAUGAAUUCAGCCAUUGCUCCUGUCUCAGUAUCCUCACUUGGAAGUCAGUAGCUAACUUUUCCUAAGUUAAAGCAGUUAUAUAAGCCUUGCCUUAGUUAACUGACCUACAGAACACCCAAAGCUGAAAUUUCAGUUGAGUGUCAAAAAAUUCCAGUAAGCCAAGGUCCACAUCCUCAAGAUAAUUACUUUCAAAUGAACUGUAGAAUCACAAAAAGUCUUGAUCCUGAAGUAGAAGAGAGGUUAUGAAGCCAAAGUUGAGCAUAACUCUUCCACAGUUUAGUGCAGAAAUAGCAUACUACUUAUUCAUUAUUAUAGUUGAACAUCUAGAGUGGCAGAAAAGCCUUUUUUUCUUAUAUAUGUUGUUUCCAAAAUCUGCUGUAGCGGUUACACAUACAUGAUAGCACUAAUAGAUGGCAUUAUUUCUCCCCACAGCCCCAGAAGAUUGCCUAUGUUUAAAUUAGAAGUAAAAGAACUCAAAGAACAUAUUUUGAUACAUUAAACAUAAUUGGCAUUGAUCAAUGAAAAUGCAUGAAACAUAGGUUUUUAAGAAAAUUGUAAAUUUUGAGUUUUGCCAAAUAACCCAGAAAUCAUAUAUGUGAUUUGAAAAUUUGGAGCAAAGAAUCAAAUGGCCAUUACUGACUCCAAUAACAUUGUAAAUAAUAUCUAGAGGUUGCAUAAGCUAGCCAAAAUAGCUUAUACAAUAUGAAAAAAAUCAUCUAAAACGGUUGAUUCCUAAUUUAAUAAUAACUUUGGCACAUACGCAUUUGCUCAACUGCUAGUGUUUAUUGUCCUUGAUGUAGAAUGAACUAUUUCUAUGUGAGUAAUACAUAAUUUCUAUAAUGUGCUUGCAACAGUUACAUGGCCAUAUGAAUUAAAAUACUUAGGUUUUCUUUUUAGCGCCAUGCAACUUUUUAUACUAAUUAGAUUCUCACUGGCAAAGGAAUUUAGGAUGAACGCACUAUUUUAUUUUUUAUAUAAAUUAAAGUAAAUUUUCCACUGAAAAAUGUAGUUUAUUGAAAUGUAUUUCUAAAGUGGCCUCCAGGACAAGUCAGCUCUAAUAUCCAUUAUCAACUUUUAGACCUAAAGAGGCCAGCCUUGAAACUGAAGAAGAUUGGAACUAGCAGCAUUCAAAGAGUGUCAACAUCAGUCCUUCCUUUUGCCAGAAAGAUCACUAGUAGGCGCUAUCAGCCAGAUGCUGCUUCCACACACUUUGCCAGACUCUAGGGAAAAGCAUUUGCCCUGGUAGGAACUCGACUUCUUAAAUGGCAGCAGACUAGCUACUACUCAAGCUUGGGAAAGUUUUAUGAACACAUUCCUGAUAAUUUUAAUAUUUAUAGAAAGCCAGAACAUGUGUAAAUAAUCACACAAUUGGAUAUUUAUGAAGUGCCAGAUUUUAUGAAUAUAGGAAUUUGUUAAUUAGCACAAGGACUAAUCAUUAAAAUUCAAAAAUAGAUAAAUAAGCAGGAAUAUCAUUUAUUUGUUCACAUUUCAGGGGGACGAAUGCAGCUGCUAUCCUUUUGAUGAAUGUAGGCUUCAGGAGAAAAAUGUGAAGAAGGAAAGUACUCAAAAGUUUUGAAAUCUUAAUAAAAUCUAAGAAAUUGCUAUAUAAUCUUUAUAUUAAAAAUAACCACAGUGUUUCUUCCCUUACGUUAAAGAAAAGAAGUUUAAAUCAGCAUGUGCUUAGCAUUUGAAUCACACUGUCUUGCAUUCCACCGUUUUGGUCCUUUUCAAGGAGCCAAAGCUGAUUUUCAUCGAAUAAGAGUUAAAAAGCACACACGUCACUCAGUACCAAAUUGUUUUAGCUACAGGGCAUGGCGAAGCAUGAAAUAACUGCUUUAGAGCACUUCCUCAUGUGGGUGUGUUAGAUAACUGUCUGCUCCAACAUUAAAACGAAACACACUGUGACCUGACCAAGACUUCAGGGCUUUCAACAGGCAGAUUUCAUGUGCUGAAAGGAAAAGCCCACCAUAACCAGCAAGGCUGGUUAAUGAAUUCUUCCGGCACUCUAUAGCCCUCCUGUGACGCAAGCCUUUCAGGUUUCCAAAUCCCUAUAUAGUAGAGUACACUGGUUUUAAGUUUACUUAUGCACAUUUUAUAAUAUCCUGCUGUAUUUUGAUUGUGACAGUCCCUCCCAGAAAAGGCUAAGAUUAUUUUUUCAUACUAAAAAUAUUUUAGAUCUACUGAAGGCUAAGAAUUAUAAUGCAAAAGAAAACAUACACACAUUCUAAAAAUCAAGCCAACCAUAAAAAUGACUAAAUGUUUAUUUACUCUUUUAUUCUUUCUAGAAGGUAAAAAGAAAUUCUUAUCUUCCCUUAAAAACCUCUUUGUUUUUUGUUUGCUUCUAAUUAACAUAAAUAUGCUUAAUAUGAAAUUUUAAGAUGUCAUGUCUGCAAAGAAUCUGAUUUCUUUAUCCAUACCUGUAUAAGACUAUGUACAUAAAUGUACAUAUAUGCACACAUGUAUCUCCUCAUAUACAUUUGUACAGAAAAAGAGAAUUGCUAGACAAGAAACACAUUAAAGAUUUCCUUUGAAAAAAAGAGUAGAAUUUAGGCAGGUCUCACAAUGUUGAUAUAGAAAAUGACAGGUGCGUGAGACAUGCACACUUUUGAUAUAUUAGUUUUAAAACAAAUUUUGGGGGCAGGAGUCUGAAAUGGAGGAAAAUCACACAUAUAUCGCAUACCAUAUUAACACAGACUUUCAAUAGACUACCCUCAAAGUCCCCUGAUUGGACCUGACUGUACUCAGCAUUUGUACUACUCUUGGUCAAAGCUGGCCUUCCAGCUUAAAAGACAGUUUAGGCAACAUAAGCAAAUUAAAAGUCUCUGAAUAAAUUUUUUAAAAGAAAGAGAAAAAAAGACUUAGCAAAAGUUCACCACCCUCUUGGAAUAAUGGAUUUUUAAUAAACAUUUUGCUAUGUUUGAACCUUGAGAAUGUGUUUGGGAAUCUGCUCUAGCGUCCCAGGUGGGUUAAGAAUAUUGCUUUAUGGACUUCUUUGUGUUGUCAGAGAGGCCUAAUGGAAUUAAAAAAAAAAAAGAAGAAGAAGAAGAAGGAAAAAAAAAAAGUCUGCCACUUCUAGUAAAUAAAUAAUUUAUUAUGAAAAAGGUGAUUGUUAUUAUCAAAGAUCUCUAUAGAUUAGCAUCCAUUUUCUAUCAUUGCCAAUGUGCAUGCUGAAAACAUUUGCAUAUCUUACCACCUGACUUAAUUUUUAUCAAAUGAAUAGCAGUUUUACUUUCAGACAAAUCUAAAUAAAACUCCAUUAGGAGACCAUUUCAAAUGGACCUAUUUAACUACUUUGAAUUUUGAAGAGCACUGUUCUGGGAAAACUCUUCAACAAUGUCAGCUAGUUGUGAAUACAACUUUUCCCAACAUAAAAAAGAAAAGUAAAUAAUAAAGGAAAAAGAAAGCACCUCAAAACUAUGUUUGAAAUAACAAAUACCUUAUUUAUAGUCGCCGAAAUGUUAAAUGAAUACUUACAGUUGUUGCACAAGAUGGCCUGAUACACUUCAUAGCUUCCACUUUGUAAAAAGAUGGCCAGCCCCCUACUCCUCCCUCCCCAAGCAUAAAUAAACAGUAACAGACUAAAAGGAAACUGUCCUAGGAUAAAAACUGCUUGUUAAGAAAGUUUGCAUUCUUACUAA
rnacentral:lncRNA from 1 species